AGUAAGAGAGCUCCAAAAAGAGAAUAGAGAAGCGGUCAGUGGACCGGGGAAAAAUGAGUGUCUACUUGUAAUAGUAAGAAGGGAGUUUCCAAAAAGAAGCUUAAUUGUAUGAACAGCCACAAAAUGGUCAAGGUAAAGAUGGGAGAAGAUGUGAUGGAUAACGGGGAAGUGGUCAGUUCAUCCAGUUCCUAGGAUAGUAGCUGAGAAGAACCAGCUUAGGGGAACGAAGAAGCUUAUGAGAAUGAAGAAGCGGAUCUGGGGUGAGCGACUGGAGCUGGUGCCUAGAGCAAGUGGCUCAGAGACCUGGUGGGUGAAAGCAAGGGCCUGAGCUCCGCCUGUCACCUGGGCGCAGAGCCAGGGGUUUCCGUUUGGUGCACAUGGGCCAGGACGGGUGCUUUGUGACCGCGUUAGAUUGCAAGGUGUGCGCUGAGUCCCUCGGGUCGUCCCUGCACCGGAGAGCCUUUGCACUGGAGGCGUGGAGUCUGUCUCUCUCUUGAACUUGGCUUUCGUCAUAGGACUUGCUUUGGCUGCUGGGACCUUAGCAAACAUGACACAAAGAGGCCUUGAAAGUGCUUGCAGAGUGGGUUCACCUUCUCGGGAGCACUGUGAGAACCGUGUGGGCUUGUCUGCUAGAGACUGAGAGGACAGGGGGAGAGGCCCAGCUGAGGCUCCAGACAGGAGUGAGUCAAGCCCAGGUGGAACCUGCCCAGACCCGGAAAACUGCCCAUGGAGCCGCAGUGAGCAGGCGCUGGAUUAGCCUGUUGUCCUUCUUAUUCAGCAACAUCUGCUUCAGAUCAGUCUCUAUCAAGAGUUCCUCCUUAGUGAGCCUCCACCUUGAACUCCUGGGCCUCCUGCACCCUCAUGCUAUUUCCUGGACACGGCAUCAUUAUCAUCAUUGCAGCUUGUGUGUUUAACUUAUUCAGGGCCAACACAGUUUCUGCGUAGGACACUACUAGUGGUUCUUCAACUUGUCUAUUACCUCAUCUAAAAGGUUUGGAGCAACCCAGGCUGCAUGCAGCCAUCACCCUGCUUUCUAAUCCAAGGAUUAUUGAACCAAGAGAUAGACUUAUGGAGUGAAGCGUUCUUGGUGCUGGGGAUGCAGCUCAGUGGUAGAGCACUUGCCCAGCAUGUGCAAGGCCCUGAGUUUGACCCCCGGCACCGGAAAAAAAAAUACACUUGCUGUGUUCAUUAGGUCCCUAAACUUCUUUAUUGGUCAUCUAACAUGUAACAUUCCCCAAAUUCCACCAGCUCUUUGCUGUCUGAUUUUUGCAUUGGAUAAAAAGUAUUUCUAGAUGCAAUGUAGGUUAUUUAAAAAAAAAAUAGACUUUGGUGUAAGACUACAGUCUUGGUCCUGUAUCUGUCUGUUGGUAACUAUGUAACUAUGUGAUCUUUGACAAUUUGCUUAAUCUCUCUGAGCCUUGCAGUAUUUAUCUCUGUAAGGAAGUCAUUACAAGGAUUACUUUAGGGUUAAUGUCAUUGCAAAGGUUAACUCAUUGCAAAGGUUAGUUCGUGUACACAAAGCACAGGGUAUGGUUCCUGACAAAUAGAAGAUACUCAAUAAAUAUUGACUCUUU